AUGAACGCUGGCGGCGUGCCUAAUACCUGCAAGUCGCGCGAACAGACGAGAAGCUUGCUUUUCUGAUGUUAGCGGCGGACGGGUGAGUAACACGUGGAUAACCUACCUAUAAGACUGGGAUAACUUCGGGAAACCGGAGCUAAUACCGGAUAAUAUUUUGAACCGCAUGGUUCAAAAGUGAAAGACGGUCUUGCUGUCACUUAUAGAUGGAUCCGCGCUGCAUUAGCUAGUUGGUAAGGUAACGGCUUACCAAGGCAACGAUGCAUAGCCGACCUGAGAGGGUGAUCGGCCACACUGGAACUGAGACACGGUCCAGACUCCUACGGGAGGCAGCAGUAGGGAAUCUUCCGCAAAGGGCGAAAGCCUGACGGAGCAACGCCGCGUGAGUGAUGAAGGUCUUCGGAUCGUAAAACUCUGUUAUUAGGGAAGAACAUAUGUGUAAGUAACUGUGCACAUCUUGACGGUACCUAAUCAGAAAGCCACGGCUAACUACGUG
rnacentral:rRNA from 1 species